rnacentral:rRNA from 1 species
GACGAACACUGGCGGCGUGCCUAAUCCAUGCAAGUCGAGCGGAGCGGCGGACGGGUGAGUAAUGCCUAGGAAUCUGCCUGGUAGUUGGGGAUAACGUCCGGAAACGGGCGCUAAUACCGCAUACUAUCAGAUGAGCCUUGGUCGGAUUAGCUAGGUGGUGGGGUAAAGGCCUACCAAGGCGACGAUCCGUAACUGGGCUGAGAGGAUGAUCAGUCACACUGGAACGGAGACACGGUCCAGACUCCUACGGGAGGCAGCAGUGGGGAAUAUUGGACAAUGGGCGAAAGCCUGAACCAGCCAUGCCGCGUGUGUGAAGAAGGUCUUCGGAUUGUAAAGCACUUUAAGUUGGGAGGCGUUACCAACAGAAUAAGCACCGGCUAACUUCGUGCCAGCAGCCGCGGUAAUAC